rnacentral:rRNA from 1 species
CCUACGGGAGGCAGCAGUGGGGAAUAUUGGGCAAUGGAGGAAACUCUGACCCAGCAACGCCGCGUGAAUGAUGAAGGUCUUCGGAUUGUACCGUUCUUUUCUAAGGGACGACGAAAGUGACGGUACCUUAGGAAUAAGCCUCGGCUAACUACGUGCCAGCAGCCGCGGUAAUACGUAGGAGGCGAGCGUUAUCCGGAAUGACUGGGCGUAAAGGGUGCGUAGGUGGUUUGGCAAGUCAGUAGCGUAACUCCAAGGCUCAACCUUGGAACUACUACUAAAACGGUUGGACUUGAGUGCAGAAGGGGCAACCGGAAUGCCUAGUGUAGCGGUGGAAUGCGUAGAGAUGUGGAGGAACACCAGUGGCGAAGGCGGGUUGCUAGACUAUAACUGACACUGAGGCACGAAAGCGUGGGGAGCAAACAGGAUUAGAUACCCGGGUAGUC